ACGAACGCUGGCGGCGUGCUUAACACAUGCAAGUCGAACGGAAAGGCCCUGCUUUUGUGGGGUGCUCGAGUGGCGAACGGGUUAUUAACACGUUAGUAACCUGCCCUUGUCUUUUGUAUAACUUCAGGAAACUUGGGCUAAUACCGGAUAGGAGCUCCUGCUGCAUGGUGGUGGUUGGAAAGUUUCGGCUGUUGGGGAUGGACUCGCGGCUUAUCAGCUUGUUGGUGGGGUAGUGGCUUACCAAGGCUUUGACGGGUAGCCGGCCUGAGAGGGUGAACGGCCACAUUGGGACUGAGAUAAGGCCCAGACUCCUACGGGAGGCAGCAGUGGGGAAUAUUGCACAAUGGGCGGAAGCCUGAUGCAGCAACGCCGCGUGCGGGAUGACGGCCUUCGGGUUGUAAACCGCUUUCGCCUGUGACGAAGCGUGAGUGACGGUAAUGGGUAAAGAAGCACCGGCUAACUACGUG
rnacentral:rRNA from 1 species